CCUCCUCUGUGUUAUAUACUGCAGCAGUAUAAAUCUUGCUGUUAAAGUAGGAGGGCAUAUCCUGAACUGUAAAGGAAGAAAGAGAGAGAUGUAUUUUCCAACAAGUGUUCUACCCCAAAUAAGCAAUACUUGUAUAUAUUGUCCUCACCUGCUGGCCACAGAAGGCUACCAUAUGUCAGGUCCUCCUAGACAAGUCCUGUUUUUCCAAAAGAAAUGUUGUCAAAUUACCAAGGAUUUCUGGCAGCCUACCUCUGAAGUGUGAGUUCUCAAGCUACUGGAAUAUUUGUUGCUAGGAAUUAAUUGCCCCAGUCUGCCUGUCUCUGAACUGACAUCCUUCUGUAAUGAAGAACACAGUCCAUGAUGCUGUCUCCGUGAACAGCCUCAGCUCAUAUGUUGCCUGUUCUGCAACAGUGAUGGGAGUUUCACUCCCCUGAAAAAAUGAAACAGGUGGCAACAAAGGAAGAUUCACAUCUAAAGAAGACACGUAUAGAUGCUGGAAUAAUAAAAUCAAAAAGUCCAUUGCCAAAAAAUAAAAAAGGGCCUCCAUCUUGAUUUUAGUUUAAGGAUUAGAAUGGGAGAGAAAGGGGGAGAGAGUGGGGGAGAGAUAUCAUCCAAAACCACCCAUCUUUAGCACGUUUCAACUACAACAAAAACAACAGCAGCCAGAUAUAAAUCUCUCCAAUGGAAAUUGGUCCAACAGAAAUUAACUUUGUGCUGAUUUAUGCAAAAGCACACGUUUUCCUUUUGAUACCCUACUGAACAAACUGACAAGUCAUAAGACUGAUGCCUAAGCCCUGGUUAGCUAUCACAGAAGCACAGAGUAAUUUAGUUUGGAACUGACCUCUGGAGGCUACUUACUGCAAUCCUCUCCUCUAUGCAAACACAAUUUAAACUUUGAAUCAAUUUGCUCAGGGUCUUGUCCCAUCAAGUUUUAAAAAUCUCCAGGGAUGGAGCUUCCACAACCUGGAAUCACACUCACUGGGAUUUUUUUUUUUCAAAUCAAAAUUUCCCUUGUUGCAAUCAGGUUGUAAGUACUGUCUUUUGUCCUAUUUAUAUCUUUCAAGAGUUUAUUAGUACUCCUGCUAAAUCAAUCUUACUCAACGAAGAUUGCCUUUUAAA